rnacentral:lncRNA from 12 species
ACUCUCCCGGACCAGAUUACCUGUUUGUUGACAAUGGGAACGGUGAUUAUACCCAUUCAAUCAGUAUGUCUGAUAAUGGAGCCCAAUCAAAACCACCAGCUGAUACAACAGAUUCAUCUGUAGUCUUUGACACAAUGUCACAUCUGGGUCAUUCCUUUAUAGACUAUUCAGAUGGUGGGGUGGAUAAUAAUGGCGCAGAUUUACCCAAUACAAAUGGAAAUGGAAACGGUCGGCACAAACCUGUGGUAGACAAACAGAAAGGUGACCCUCCAAGCGUUCAUCUGGACAUCAGUAUGUAUCUAGCAAUAAAACACACCCAACUAAUCAACACACAAUCACAACGUCAUAUUAUUGAUAGACUAAUAUCUUGGAAUCGAUGUGAAUAUUCCCAAAUGUCUUUCCAAACAGGCGGAACAGGCCAUCAAGACGCUGCAACGGAGAUGCAUCACACAGCUGUUGGUGCGCUUGAUCUAAACGACCACACUCUCAGUCCCUACUCCGACACGACUGGAUUUGACAGUGUCAAUGGUGCAAGGGCGCAGACAGAUAUGGCAGGUGCAGCGGGUGAUCCAGUGACUGACGGACAGACUCUUACAGACGUGACAGGGCUGGAACACUUAGCUGUGACAGACGGCAUGCUAAAUUACACAGCAGAUUCUGUGCUUGCGACUGGGACUGGAUUUACAGAUGCCUCAGACACACAUAGUAACAUGGUUCAGACAGACCUACCAGCUACAGUCACAGGGGAUCCAUUCACAGGAGUUUCCUCACAAACAGAUGCCAUGGGCACAGGACAACCUGGUGCUACGGAACAAACACAGACAGCUGGUAAGCUUCAUGAGAGUUCAGACCUCCUUCUCUUCAGUCACAUGAUUUAUGAUUAA